UACAGAGGGUGCAAGCGUUGCUCGGAAUUAUUGGGCGUAAAGGGUAGGUAGGUGGUCUCAUUUGUCCGGGGUGAAAGCCUUGAGCUUAACUCAAGAAGUGCCCCGGAAACGGUGAGACUGGAGUCUUGGAGAGGGUCGUGGAAUUCCCGGUGUAGCGGUGAAAUGCGUAGAGAUCGGGAGGAACACCAGAGGCGAAAGCGGCGACCUGGACAAGUACUGACACUCAACUACGAAAGCGUGGGGAGCAAACAGG
rnacentral:rRNA from 1 species